CGUGUUCACGGCGCUCCUUGAUUUAAUAUUCAGACAAUUAAGGCACGCGGUGAAUGCCAA
rnacentral:pre_miRNA from 1 species